AGAGUUUGAUCCUGGCUCAGAUUGAACGCUGGCGGCAGGCCUAACACAUGCAAGUCGAGCGGUAACACAGAGAGCUUGCUCCCGGGUGACGAGCGGCGGACGGGUGAGUAAUGUCUGGGAAACUGCCUGAUGGAGGGGGAUAACUACUGGAAACGGUAGCUAAUACCGCAUAAUGUCGCAAGACCAAAGAGGGGGACCUUCGGGCCUCUUGCCAUCAGAUGUGCCCAGAUGGGAUUAGCUAGUAGGUGGGGUAACGGCUCACCUAGGCGACGAUCCCUAGCUGGUCUGAGAGGAUGACCAGCCACACUGGAACUGAGACACGGUCCAGACUCCUACGGGAGGCAGCAGUGGGGAAUAUUGCACAAUGGGCGCAAGCCUGAUGCAGCCAUGCCGCGUGUAUGAAGAAGGCCUUCGGGUUGUAAAGUACUUUCAGCGGGGAGGAAGGCGAUAAGGUUAAUAACCUUGUCGAUUGACGUUACCCGCAGAAGAAGCACCGGCUAACUCCGUGCCAGCAGCCGCGGUAAUACGGAGGGUGCAAGCGUUAAUCGGAAUUACUGGGCGUAAAGCGCACGCAGGCGGUCUGUCAAGUCGGAUGUGAAAUCCCCGGGCUCAACCUGGGAACUGCAUUCGAAACUGGCAGGCUAGAGUCUUGUAGAGGGGGGUAGAAUUCCAGGUGUAGNGGUGAAAUGCGUAGAGAUCUGGAGGAAUACCGGUGGCGAAGGCGGCCCCCUGGACAAAGACUGACGCUCAGGUGCGAAAGCGUGGGGAGCAAACAGGAUUAGAUACCCUGGUAGUCCACGCCGUAAACGAUGUCGACUUGGAGGUUGUGCCCUUGAGGCGUGGCUUCCGGAGCUAACGCGUUAAGUCGACCGCCUGGGGAGUACGGCCGCAAGGUUAAAACUCAAAUGAAUUGACGGGGGCCCGCACAAGCGGUGGAGCAUGUGGUUUAAUUCGAUGCAACGCGAAGAACCUUACCUACUCUUGACAUCCAGAGAACUUUCCAGAGAUGGAUUGGUGCCUUCGGGAACUCUGAGACAGGUGCUGCAUGGCUGUCGUCAGCUCGUGUUGUGAAAUGUUGGGUUAAGUCCCGCAACGAGCGCAACCCUUAUCCUUUGUUGCCAGCGGUUCGGCCGGGAACUCAAAGGAGACUGCCAGUGAUAAACUGGAGGAAGGUGGGGAUGACGUCAAGUCAUCAUGGCCCUUACGAGUAGGGCUACACACGUGCUACAAUGGCGCAUACAAAGAGAAGCGACCUCGCGAGAGCAAGCGGACCUCAUAAAGUGCGUCGUAGUCCGGAUUGGAGUCUGCAACUCGACUCCAUGAAGUCGGAAUCGCUAGUAAUCGUAGAUCAGAAUGCUACGGUGAAUACGUUCCCGGGCCUUGUACACACCGCCCGUCACACCAUGGGAGUGGGUUGCAAAAGAAGUAGGUAGCUUAACCUUCGGGAGGGCGCUUACCACUUUGUGAUUCAUGACUGGGGUGAAGUCGUAACAAGGUAGCCGUA
rnacentral:rRNA from 1 species